rnacentral:rRNA from 1 species
GACGAACGCUGGCGGCGUGCUUAACACAUGCAAGUCGAACGAAGAGCGAUGGAAGCUUGCUUCUAUCAAUCUUAGUGGCGAACGGGUGAGUAACGCGUAAUCAACCUGCCCUUCAGAGGGGGACAACAGUUGGAAACGACUGCUAAUACCGCAUACGAUCUAAUCUCGGCAUCGAGGAUAGAUGAAAGGUGGCCUCUACAUGUAAGCUAUCACUGAAGGAGGGGAUUGCGUCUGAUUAGCUAGUUGGAGGGGUAACGGCCCACCAAGGCGAUGAUCAGUAGCCGGUCUGAGAGGAUGAACGGCCACAUUGGGACUGGGACACGGCCCAGACUCCUACGGGAGGCAGCAGUAGGGAAUCUUCCGCAAUGGACGAAAGUCUGACGGAGCAACGCCGCGUGAGUGAUGACGGCCUUCGGGUUGUAAAGCUCUGUUAAUCGGGACGAAAGGCCUUCUUGCGAAUAGUGAGAAGGAUUGACGGUACCGGAAUAGAAAGCCACGGCUAACUACGUG